GAUGAACGCUGGCGGCGUGCCUAAUACAUGCAAGUCGAGCGAACAGACGAGGAGCUUGCUCCUCUGACGUUAGCGGCGGACGGGUGAGUAACACGUGGAUAACCUACCUAUAAGACUGGGAUCACUUCGGGAAACCGGAGCUAAUACCGGAUAAUAUAUUGAACCGCAUGGUUCAAUAGUGAAAGACGGUUUUGCUGUCACUUAUAGAUGGAUCCGCGCCGCAUUAGCUAGUUGGUAAGGUAACGGCUUAUCAAGGCAACGAUGCGUAGCCGACCUGAGAGGGUGAUCGGCCACACGGGAACUGAGCCACGGUCCAGACUCCUACGGGAGGCAGCAGUAGGGAAUCUGCCGCAAUGGGCGAAAGCUUGACGGAGCAACGCCGCGUGAGUGAUGAAGGUCUUCGGAUCGUAAAACUCUGUUAUUAGGGAAGAACAAAUGUGUAAGUAACUAUGCACGUCUUGACGGUACCUAAUCAGAAAGCCACGGCUAACUACGUG
rnacentral:rRNA from 1 species